rnacentral:rRNA from 1 species
GACGAACGCUGGCGGCGUGCUUAACACAUGCCAGUCGAACGGAAAGGCCCUGCUUUUGUGGGGUGCUCGAGUGGCGAACGGGUGAGUAACACGUGAGUAACCUGCCCUUGACUUUGAGAUAACUUCAGGAAACUGGGGCUAAUACCGGAUAGGAGCUCCUGCUGCAUGGUGGGGGUUGGAAAGUUUCGGCGGUUGGGGAUGGACUCGCGGCUUAUCAGCUUGUUGGUGGGGUAGUGGCUUACCAAGGCUUUGACGGGUAGCCGGCCUGAGAGGGUGACCGGCCACAUUGGGACUGAGAUACGGCCCAGACUCCUACGGGAGGCAGCAGUGGGGAAUAUUGCACAAUGGGCGGAAGCCUGAUGCAGCAACGCCGCGUGCGGGAUGACGGCCUUCGGGUUGUAAACCGCUUUCGCCUGUGACGAAGCGUGAGUGACGGUAAUGGGUAAAGAAGCACCGGCUAACUACGUG